GAGUUUGAUCUUGGCUCAGAUUGAACGCUGGCGGCAUGCCUUACACAUGCAAGUCGAACGGUAACAGGUCUUCGGAUGCUGACGAGUGGCGAACGGGUGAGUAAUACAUCGGAACGUGCCCGAUCGUGGGGGGAUAACGAAGCGAAAGCUUUGCUAAUACCGCAUACGAUCUACGGAUGAAAGCAGGGGACCGCAAGGCCUUGCGCGAACGGAGCGGCCGAUGGCAGAUUAGGUAGUUGGUGGGAUAAAAGCUUACCAAGCCGACGAUCUGUAGCUGGUCUGAGAGGACGACCAGCCACACUGGGACUGAGACACGGCCCAGACUCCUACGGGAGGCAGCAGUGGGGAAUUUUGGACAAUGGGCGAAAGCCUGAUCCAGCCAUGCCGCGUGCAGGAUGAAGGCC
rnacentral:rRNA from 1 species